rnacentral:tRNA from 1 species
GGGGGCGUAGCUCAGCUUGGGAGAGCGCCGGCUUUGCAAGCCGGAGGUCGGCGGUUCGAUCCCGCUCGCCUCCACCA